AAUAUACAGUGUGUUUUAAUAUCAAUGCACCAACUUUGGCAGGAAAGCACACCUCGGAUUGUGAGGAUGGGAGAUAGUCCUGGCUGUCCCUGUGGUGGUACCCAUGUUUCUGAUAUUUCAGAUAUUGUAAGCAUUAAGGUUUCUCAGAUUCGCUCAAAGAAAGGAUCAACAAAAGUCUUCUACAAUGUUGAGUCCUAAUGCUAUGCACUUAGAACCAGCCAUUCAGGAGAUGCUGUCGGGAACUCCAUAGUGAGGCCAACUUUCAGUCCUGAAAGGAGAUAGCUAUGUAUUACUGAACAAUGCUUCGCUAAAAUACUUAUAAUCACAUAUAAUCGGUUAUGGUUUUGUGAUACCAGCGAAGAUGUUUUAAUUCACUGUCCUUGUUGGAUGGAUCGUGAAUUUGCAGAGGGGAUAUUUGUCA